rnacentral:rRNA from 1 species
UACGAAGGGGGCUAGCGUUGUUCGGAAUUACUGGGCGUAAAGCGCACGUAGGCGGGUUGUUAAGUCAGGGGUGAAAUCCUGGAGCUCAACUCCAGAACUGCCUUUGAUACUGGCAACCUAGAGACUGGAAGAGGUUAGUGGAAUUCCCAGUGUAGAGGUGAAAUUCGUAGAUAUUGGGAAGAACACCAGUGGCGAAGGCGGCUAACUGGUCUAGCACUGACGCUGAGGUGCGAAAGCGUGGGGAGCAAACAGG